GAUCAUGGCUCAGGAUGAACGCUAGCCACAGGCUUAACACAUGCAAGUCGAGGGGCAGCAUGGUCUUAGCUUGCUAAGGCCGAUGGCGACCGGCGCACGUGUGAGUAACACGUAUCCAACCUGCCGUCUACUCUUGGACAGCCUUCUGAAAGGAAGAUUAAUACAAGAUGGCAUCAUGAGUUCACAUGUUCACAUGAUUAAAGGUAUUCCGGUAGACGAUGGGG
rnacentral:rRNA from 1 species